GGUGCAAAAUGUAUUUCAUCUCUCACAAAUUGGCUUUGAUCUCAUGACGCCAUGGAAUGCUUUUGAUGUUAUUAUGCAAUGUGCUACGUCAAACACAAAGAGAAAUACAGGGAGCGUACAUCCACGCACGCACGCACAAUCCCCACGCUGGGUCGAGGAGCGGCACGCUUCAGCAGGAUCCUCGGCUUUCCUCACCUGGUUUUACUUUCAAUCUAAAAUGUUCUCAAUAUGUCCCUCUAACUUGACUUUCUUCAACUCCCCUCGGCCUGGUAGCUCAUUUCAUUUGCUCUGCCAGACUACGGUCUGGACCCCCUCCAUUCGAAAGUGAUUUCCCUUCGGCAGAAAUCUUGCCGGUCCAAUCACAAACCAAUUAUAUAUAAUUUGAUAAUGCCAUAACGCAGAGCAAAGCCACUUGUGUUAUCAACCAAGGCUGCCACCGAUGAAUGAGCAUUUGACUUAAAAUACCCAAUAUUUUGAAAUUUCUCCCACAAAAAAAACAACUUUCCUGCUGAAAGUAAAUGCUGACUGGCUGAAAAGCAGACCAGAUCAAAGUAAACUGCGCAGGAUGUCAGAAAUGGCUACAUGCAGACAGACAUAGUAUGAUAAUACUUUUAUUUUUUCCUAUAUUAAAUAUAAGUAUUAUUAAUAAUAAUAAUAUCAUUUAGGAUAAUUGAUAGAGAAGCUGGAGACAGUUGAGUAUAAGUUUAAUUAGAAGAUAAGGAAAGAAGAAAAAAGAAGUUGAGAAAAGAGAAAUUGAAGACAGCUGAAUAAAUGCUGAAUUUGCAGAAAAGGAAAGUCAGUUCACAAAGUGCUUUCCAAGGCAGCCAUUCAAACAAAUAAGUGAUACAACCAUCAGGACUAUAGAGAAGAGUUUAAAAAAAAUUUCAGCCGGGUCUCUUGGAAAGAUUACCGGCCGCUGUCCAAAAAUGUCAAGGUACGAGCCAGUGAGUAGUGUACUAAAAGGCUAAAAUGAUGACAGCCCACAACAGUGGUGCCCACGAGCAUCUGCUCGCCCAAAGGCAGCCGUGGCCACGGCGAAGCGGCACAACAUAGAGACGCACUUCAAGUACAUGCCACAAGGCCUUCUAUGCUAACUACCCUCCAGGUACCUCAUUACGGGCAGAAAAAGCCUGUGAGUAAAGGCAGCUUUGGGCCUUUUUUCACCAGGCCGGUGAAAAAAUCUCAAGCAGCAACGGAAGCUUAAUUUAGAGCUCUAGACCUGGGGGCAAAUACAAUCGCAAGAGGGGUGUCAGGUAUGUCCGAGGACUCAACAGUGCGGCUGGAUCAGAUCUGAGUAUGUGCAGGUGGUUUAACAUCCAGUGCGCCAUGCAAAGGCGACCCAGAUUUUCCCUACAUUUUCUACAUCCCCACUGCAUCAUUCACCAGCCGGCCAUAUGUGACGGGCUUUGAUCAUGUAAUGAUGCCGGUUGUGACCAUCAUUAAGUCAGCAUCCGCUCCGAAGCUAAACAACACAGGUCGUUUAAGGUUAUGUUGGAGGAGCUGACAAGUUGAAUACGGUGACCUGCUGCGACACACUGAAAUCCAGUGGCUCAGCAGGGGUGAAAUCAAAGGGUCCCUGGAGUCCAGAGCAGAGGACGCCUCACUGCGUCAGGACACCGCGGGGGAACUGGACCGUGCAUUUUUUGCAGACAUCCCUGGAAAACAACCAUUGGAACUGUAAACUGCAAAGCACAGGGCAGGCGCAGACCGCUGUGUUACACCUCCUUGGGUAUCUUUCUGUCGGGAUUCCUGUUAAGUGGGAGUUUAAGGUGUCUAAGGUGAACCCAGGUGUGGACAAAGACAUGCAGGCAGGUCAACUUAAUCAGAGCAGGUUUUUAUUUAUAAUUAAGAGAUCAGCGGGAAAACUGGGUCGGACCAGAUGAGGGGGGAAUCCAGGGGAGAAAAUUCAAUUCAAUUCAAUUUUAUUUGUACAGCGCCAUAUCACAACAUACAUUGUCUCAAGGCACUUAAC